UACAGAGACCCCAAACAUUGUCCGGAGUUAUUGGGCGUAAAGGGUUCGCAGGCGGCCUAAUGCGUCAUGUGUCAAAUCUUUGGGCUCAACCCAAAGACUGCGCGUGAUACGGUUAGGCUAGAGGCUGGGAGAGGUACACGGAAUGGCCGGUGUAGGGGUAAAAUCCGUUUAUAUCGGCUAGAACACCAAAGGCGAAGGCAGUGUACUGGAACAGUUCUGACGCUCAGGAACGAAAGCGUGGGUAGCGAACGGG
rnacentral:misc_RNA from 1 species